ensembl:snoRNA
GACCUUUUGUAGCUCAUAAACGUUGUGAUUGGCUGUCCAGGGCAUUCUGUGACAUGUGACUCCCUCAGACCUUGUUACGACCUGGGCACAUUACCCAUCUAAUG